CUAAGGCUCCAGAGGAAGCCACGGCUAACUCUGUGCCAGCAGCCGCGGUAAUACAGAGGCGGCAAGCGUUGUUCGGAAUUAUUGGGCGUAAAGAGCACGUAGGCGGCCUUGCAAGUCAGUUGUGAAAGCCUUCCGCUUAACGGAAGAAUGCCAGCUGAUACUACAGGGCUUGAGUACGGGAGGGGAGAGUGGAACUUCUGGUGGAGCGGUGAAAUGCGUAGAUAUCAGAAGGAACGCCGGCGGCGAAAGCGACUCUCUGGCCCGAAACUGACGCUGAGUGUGCGAAAGCUAGGGGAGCAAACGGGAUUAGAUACCCCGGUAGUCCUAGCCGUAAG
rnacentral:rRNA from 1 species